GACGAACGCUGGCGGCGUGCUUAACACAUGCAAGUCGUACGGUAAGGCCCUUUCGGGGGUACACGAGUGGCGCACGGGUGAGUAACACGUGAGUAACCUGCCCACAACUUUGGGAUAACGCUAGGAAACUGGUGCUAAUACUGGAUAUGUGCUCCUGCUGCAUGGUGGGGGUUGGAAAGCUCCGGCGGUUGUGGAUGGACUCGCGGCCUAUCAGCUUGUUGGUGGGGUAGUGGCCUACCAAGGCGGCGACGGGUAGCCGGCCUGAGAGGGUGACCGGCCACAUUGGGACUGAGAUACGGCCCAGACGCCGACGGGAGGCAGCAGUGGGGAAUAUUGCACAAUGGGCGCAAGCCUGAUGCAGAAACGCCGCGUGCGGGAUGACGGCCUUCGGGUUGUAAACCGCUUUCAGCAGGGACGAAGCUUUUUGUGACGGUACCUGCAGAAGAAGCACCGGCUAACUACGUG
rnacentral:rRNA from 1 species